CUACUGCCAGACAUUUGUAUCACAGGCUCAUUUAAUCUAAUCCUGACAAUAAUCGCAUGAUUUUGCAGGUGAGGAAACAGGCGCAGGAAGGCUAACAAUUUACCCAAGUUCCCAUGGCUGCCCAGGAUUGCGUUUUCUCCUCUCAACCGUGCGUUCUGCGUGAGGCACCAGUCCCAGCUCUAGUCCUGGGACUCAGGAUCUCCACUUGGUCCAUCAAAUCAUCAAAUCCUUUGUCCCAUCCGCAGCAUAGGGAAAGGGAAAACUGCAGAGAUUUCUUUAAGGAUGGGCCACAUGACCCAGCUGUAGCCAAUGAACUACAUCUGAGGCUUUCCUGGGAUUGGCUGGAGAGAGGCAGGAGCCCUCCUUCCAUUGGUUAUUAUUAUUAUUUUUUAAAGAUUUUAUUUAUUAGUCAGAGAGAAAGAGGGAGUGAGAGCACAAGCAGGGGGAGAGGGAGAGAGGCAGAGGGAGAAACAGGCCCCCUGCUGAGAAGCAGCCUAAUGCAGAUCUUGAUCCCAGGAUGGUGGGAUCAUGACCAGAGGUGGAAGCAGAUGUUUAACCACCCAGGCUCUCCUUCCAUUGAUUCUUAA
rnacentral:lncRNA from 1 species